rnacentral:pre_miRNA from 1 species
CGAGGUCCCGCAAUGGCACUGCAUGAAUUCACGGUUAUUAUUCAGGGCCGUGCAUCCAGUAGUUCCAUACCGGGCUAGGCUAG